rnacentral:tRNA from 1 species
GAGGGUAUAGCUCAGGGUAGAUCUGUGCUUAGUAUGCAUGAGGGCCUGGGUUCAAUCCCCAGUACCUCCA